rnacentral:rRNA from 1 species
GACGAACGCUGGCGGCACGCUUAACACAUGCAAGUCGAACGAGAGAAGAGAAGCUUGCUUUUCUGAUCUAGUGGCGGACGGGUGAGUAACACGUGAGCAAUCUGCCUUUCAGAGGGGGAUACCGAUUGGAAACGAUCGUUAAUACCGCAUAACAUAAUUGAACCGCAUGAUUUGAUUAUCAAAGAUUUAUCGCUGAAAGAUGAGCUCGCGUCUGAUUAGCUAGUUGGUAAGGUAACGGCUUACCAAGGCGACGAUCAGUAGCCGGACUGAGAGGUUGAUCGGCCACAUUGGGACUGAGACACGGCCCAGACUCCUACGGGAGGCAGCAGUGGGGAAUAUUGCACAAUGGAGGAAACUCUGAUGCAGCGAUGCCGCGUGAGGGAAGAAGGUUUUAGGAUUGUAAACCUCCGUCUUCAGGGACGAAAAAAGACGGUACCUGAGGAGGAAGCUCCGGCUAACUACGUG